rnacentral:misc_RNA from 1 species
GAUGAAGAACGUAGCGAAAUGCGAUAAGUAAUGUGAAUUGCAGAAUUCAGUGAAUCAUCGAAUCUUUGAACGCACAUUGCGCCCGCCAGUAUUCUGGCGGGCAUGCCUGUUCGAGCGUCAUUUCAACCAUCAAGCCCCCGGCUUGUGUUGGGGACCUGCGGCUGCCGCAGGCCCUGAAAAGCAGUGGCGGGCUCGCUGUCACACCGAGCGUAGUAGCAUACAUCUCGCUCUGGGCGUGCUGCGGGUUCCGGCCGUUAAACCACCUUCAUAACCCAAGGUUGACCUCGGAUCAGGUAGGAAGACUCGCUGAACUUAAGCAUAUCAAUAAGCGGAGGA